AGGCAGAUACUGAACUAAUGUGGUGCAACUCUGAAUCACUUUCAUAUAGAUUGUAGUUAAAGGUUAUCAGAGCUGUACCUAAAACAUCAAAAUAAUUUGGGACCAAUACCCAAUGAGCUGGGUAACUUGCUGUUUGCCUAUCAAAGGGAUAACUUUGAAUUUGUUAGAGAUCUUUCUGCCACAAGGGAUUUAUCUGAGAUGCUCACUCCCAAGCUAAGCGCUAAGCCCUCGGAAGGCAUUGUCUGAAUUCCCUGAGUUUCCUGCUUCCUGUUACUAUGGAAACGAUAGAUGAUUUAAUUUUCCAUGCUGUGAGGUGGAUGUGUUUGGGAUGGCACCUUACAAUAGCACAUGGGGCACUCUAGGAAAAGAGAAAACAAUGUUUCCUGGCACUUUUGUGGGGAGAAGUGGAGUUAAAUAACUUCAUAGAUGUCAGCAUUCAGAUACUACCUGUGUUCAUUAUGAGAGAAGGAACGACAAAGGGAUGGCCUUAUAAUGAUCGUCAUAAAUCUUUGAAGUUGUUGAAAGCCAGAAGGAUUUCUCCCUUCAUCAAGCUGCAGACUGUAAUGAAUGCUAUUAAGGACCUGCACUGUUCAUCUUGCAGGUAUUUAUGCCUAUUAACUGCUAGAUAAGCAUACAUUGGUCUUCUCAUCAGUAUACAGACAUGUCAUUGGGUUUACCUUUGUUGAUCUGAAGUCCCACGACUGCUGUUGCUUGCUUGAUGCCACAUUUUCUACAUCUCUUACAGCAUUUGAGGCAGAUCAUUUCCAUUUGCCAUAUUCCAAGGAUUACUGUCCCUGAGGCUUAUGACUUUUCUACAACCACAUUCAGCAGAAUGGAGUUUUAAGUGCAUAUCUCUAGUUAAAUCUAACUCAGCUUGGAUUUCAC
rnacentral:lncRNA from 1 species